rnacentral:rRNA from 1 species
GAACUGAAGAGUUUGAUCAUGGCUCAGAUUGAACGCUGGCGGCAGGCCUAACACAUGCAAGUCGAGCGGAUGAAGGGRGCUUGCUCCUGGAUUCAGCGGCGGACGGGUGAGUAAUGCCUAGGAAUCUGCCUGGUAGUGGGGGAUAACGUCCGGAAACGGGCGCUAAUACCGCAUACGUCCUGAGGGAGAAAGUGGGGGAUCUUCGGACCUCACGCUAUCAGAUGAGCCUAGGUCGGAUUAGCUAGUUGGUGGGGUAAAGGCCUACCAAGGCGACGAUCCGUAACUGGUCUGAGAGGAUGAUCAGUCACACUGGAA